AAAUCAGUGAUGAGAAUAAUUAUAUGAGGAUUCUAAAAGAUUAUUUUCAGACGUCAAUUGGGGGUCC